rnacentral:tRNA from 1 species
AGGAUUAUAGUUAAAUAUAACAUUUAAUUUGCAUUUAAAAAGUACUGUCCACAGUUAAUCUUA